rnacentral:rRNA from 1 species
UUGACCUCAAAUCAGGUAGGACUACCCGCUGAACUUAAGCAUAUCAAUAAGCGGAGGAAAAGAAACUAACAAGGAUUCCCCUAGUAACUGCGAGUGAAGCGGGAAAAGCUCAAAUUUAAAAUCUGGCGGUCCUCGCGGCCGUCCGAGUUGUAAUCUGGAGAAGCGUUUUCCGCGUCGGACCGUGUACAAGUCUUCUGGAAUGGAGCGUCGUAGAGGGUGAGAAUCCCGCCUCUGACACGGACCGCCGAUGCUUUUGUGAUACGCUCUCGAAGAGUCGAGUUGUUUGGGAAUGCAGCUCAAAACGGGUGGUAAAUUCCAUCUAAAGCUAAAUAUUGGCGAGAGACCGAUAGCGAACAAGUACCGUGAGGGAAAGAUGAAAAGCACUUUGGAAAGAGAGUUAAACAGUACGUGAAAUUGUUGAAAGGGAAACGUUUGAAGUCAGUCGCGUCGGUCGAGACUCAACCUUGCUCUUUUGCUCGGCGCACUUCUCGGCCGACGGGUCAGCAUCAAUUUCGACCGUCGGAUAAAGGCCGAGGGAAUGUGGCAUCUUUCGGGAUGUGUUAUAGCCUUCGGUUCGCAUACGGCGAUCGGGAUUGAGGAACUCAGCGCGCCUUCAUCGGUCGGGGCUUCGGCUCACG